GGCUGAAAUUAAUAGAUGAUUUUUUCAAUCAAAUGGUGGUGUUGUGCACUGGAGCAUAAAACACAGCUUCUUGAUAUUCUUAAUCCAAACUCAAGCAUGGGGCAGAUUUAUCAAGGUGUCGCCCAACUCAACUGUGUGCCCAAGGAAGGUGCCUUCAGUCAAAAUGUUCUUCAGGGCAACUAUUCUGCAAGUCUGCAGCAAUUCAUGCUUACCUCUUCAUAACUUUGUUGUGGUAAUUUCAUGACUUUCAUAUUUUCUGGCCAAGUUGUAUCCUUUCGGGACUAUGCCAUCGGGGAAUUUGCUCAAAUUUAUCAUCAAACUUAUUUGAGAGAAAUGACUUCAAACCGUGGAAGUAAAUGUUUACUGCAGACAGCUUGGGAACUGCUCCAGUAAUCAUGCAUCGGUUUGUAAACUUUGUAUGAUAUCAUGUAGAUAUCUUUUUAAAUCUUGAUACUGAUUUCAGUUAUUUGUUAUUUGCAUAUAACAACACACUCAAUAUGUUUGUAGUUUAUG